CCUACGGGAGGCAGCAGUGGGGAAUAUUGGGCAAUGGAGGAAACUCUGACCCAGCAACGCCGCGUGAAUGAUGAAGGUCUUCGGAUUGUAAAGUUCUUUUCUAAGGGAAGAAGAAAGUGACGGUACUUUAGGAAUAAGCCUCGGCUAACUACGUGCCAGCAGCCGUGGUAAUACGUAGGAGGCGAGCGUUAUCCGGAAUGACUGGGCGUAAAGGGUGCGUAGGUGGUUUGGCAAGUUAGUAGCGUAACCCCAAGGCUCAACCUUGGAACUACUACUAAAACUGUUGGACUUGAGUGCAGGAGGGGCAACCGGAAUUCCUAGUGUAGCGGUGGAAUGCGUAGAUAUUAGGAGGAACACCAGUGGCGAAGGCGGGUUGCUGGACUGUAACUGACACUGAGGCACGAAAGCGUGGGGAGCAAACAGGAUUAGAUACCCCUGUAGUC
rnacentral:rRNA from 1 species